CGUGUAGGCGGUCGGGUAAGUCAGAUGUGAAAGCCUUCUGCUUAACGGAAGAAGUGCAUUUGAAACUGCUCGGCUGGAGUACGGGAGAGGAGAGUGGAAUUCCCGGUGUAGAGGUGAAAUUCGUAGAUAUCGGGAGGAACACCAGUGGCGAAGGCGGCUCUCUGGUCCGAUACUGACGCUGAGACGCGAAAGCGUGGGGAGCAAACAGGAUUAGAUACCCUGGUAGUCCACGCCGUAAACGAUGGGCACUAGGUGUAGGAGGUAUUGACCCCUUCUGUGCCGCAGUUAACGCAUUAAGUGCCCCGCCUGGGGAGUACGGCCGCAAGGCUAAA
rnacentral:rRNA from 1 species